UUGAACGCUGGCGGAAUGCUUUACACAUGCAAGUCGAGCGGCAGCGCGGGGGCAACCCUGGCGGCGAGCGGCGAACGGGUGAGUAACAUAUCGGAACGUACCCUAUCGUGGGGGAUAACACAUCGAAAGAUGUGCUAAUACCGCAUACGACCUGAGGGUGAAAGCAGGGGAUCGCAAGACCUUGCGCGACAGGAGCGGCCGAUAUCGGAUUAGCUAGUUGGUGAGGUAAAGGCUCACCAAGGCGACGAUCCGUAGCUGGUCUGAGAGGACGACCAGCCACACUGGAACUGAGACACGGUCCAGACUCCUACGGGAGGCAGCAGUGGGGAAUUUUGGACAAUGGGGGCAACCCUGAUCCAGCCAUUCCGCGUGCAGGAUGAAGGCCUUCGGGUUGUAAACUGCUUUUGUACGGAACGAAAAAGUCUUCUCUAAUACAGGGGGCGAAUGACGGUACCGUAAGAAUAAGCACCGGCUAACUACGU
rnacentral:rRNA from 1 species